CCGGGUCUGUAUUCGGGUCGUAACCGACCCGAAUUGCACAGCAACUUCGCUUCCGGUAGUCUUCUUCCACAUCUUUAAGAUCAAACGGCUUCGGAAUUUAUAGUUCACCAUCUUCUCCUAUUUUUCAUUGAGAUGUAUCUGGUCUCCAGAAUCCUUUUUGGGCACUUAAUAUUCCUUCUUGGUGCUUGGAGAAGGUUAGAUGAACAUCCCAGUGCAGUGACUUCAACAUAUUCUCAACUUCUCUUAUCACAUUGGACUCGUCACGAACUAUUAGUUUACCUCCUGGUCUUACUAUUCUAUCCACUUCUGCCAUUACUGGAGCAAGGUUGCACCUUGCAAAAGGAUAUAAAAAACAGAUCUUUUUCAACUUCUUCAGAUGAAAAUUACCAAACAAAAGUGGAAAUGACUUAAGGCUUUACCUUGCUUUCAACUUAGAGAAGAGAUGAUCUGCAUGCAAGAGAUCAUAGCUCCGAGGGUAUGUGCUAAAAGAUUCACACCAGUCAUGAUAAAUCCCGAACAAGCCUCUCUCGUAGAUUAUCGUGAAAUCUCUUGGAGCUGGUUUCCCAUAGAUCCCCAUUUGAGAGCUGUUUAGCCAGUAAGGAGGUGUUUGUAGCCGACGGGGCCAGUUCACGGGCCACUUGCUCCCUCUCUCGACCACAUUUGUUGGCACUUUAGGCAUACAUGCCUGUAGCGGUUUCUGGUAGAUGGCAGCACCAAUACCAUUGAGUUUAUCCUUGUUGAUUGUCACAAGUUCCCAACACAUGGAUUUUGUCAACGCGGACAUGGCUACAUAUAACUCAAAACAUGUCAGCUUCAAUGGAACAGAACUUAAAAGGAGAACACUUUAGUUCAAACCUUACCUUUCCAAAUUUGAACAUCUUCUUCGAGCUUCUGGUACACUGGUGUUGCUGACCAAACAAAAUAACCUCCUGGCCGUAGCAUCCGGUUAAGUUCCAGAAGAAGCAUACCACCCUCAAUGUGCCAAGGGACUCUGCAUCGUGCGCAGUGGAUAAGGUCAAACACUCUGCUCGGGAAUGGCAGUCUCUUUGAGCCCAUCACUGCAGAGAUGGCUGGAAUCUUCCUUUCAAGAGCAAACUGGACCUGAGCCUCGUGUUCAUCUUUUGGUGCAAGAGACAUGGCUAUAACAUCUCUUUCAAAGAGGAAACCGCCAAAGCUCGCAACUCCACAUCCAACAUCCAAUACGACCCGAUUUUUUUAUAAAUUCUUCACCUGCUGAAGGAAAUCGAUAUAAUGGAGAGCUCCAUGGAUGAACUGUGUUCCACCACCAGGAAAUGUCAAGAAUUCGCCAGUGACUUUCACCCAGUUCUGAUGUCCUUUCACCUCUGCUAGCUUUGUGUGUGGGACGUUGUGGUACCAUAUCUACUAGAUCACAUGUUAGUCAACUUUUAUCCUAUUUCAGAUCAUUUCACCUGAACAUAAACUUAUUUGGAUUGAAUAUUUUUACCUUAUCCCUGCUUUCUGGCCACUUGAUGGACUCCUUAUAGCCUUCUGGGAGGGAAACGAGACACGUUGGUGGGUCUUCUGGGCAAUGUCUCUCUCUAUGCUCAAAAUGUCUUCUACUUGUUAGUUUCCGUAUAGCUUCUUCGUUGUCUAGGCAUGGUAUAUAAUCAGGACCUGCAGUUGCAUUGCACAACACCCAUGUCUUCCCA